rnacentral:rRNA from 1 species
GUGCCAGCAGCCGCGGUAAUACGUAGGGUGCGAGCGUUAAUCGGAAUGACUGGGCGUAAAGGGUGUGUAGGCGGUCUGUUAAGUCUGAUGUGAAAUCCCCGGGCUCAACCUGGGAACUGCGUUGGAAACUGGCAAACUAGAGUACGUAAGAGGGGGGUGGAAUUCCACGUGUAGCAGUGAAAUGCGUAGAGAUGUGGAGGAACACCGAUGGCGAAGGCAGCCCCCUGGGACGAUACUGACGCUGAGGCACGAAAGCGUGGGGAGCAAACAGGAUUAGAUACCCCUGUAGUCC